CGCCUCCUGGUCGAUGGAGGGCACGCGUUUCUGAUGGAGGUGCAGGAGAAGGCGGUGUUCAACUCGACGUUCUGGGCCGCCGGCGCCGG
rnacentral:tRNA from 1 species